GAUGAACGCUAGCGGCAGGCCUAACACAUGCAAGUCGAGGGGUAGCAGGAUUAAGCUUGCUUAAUUGCUGACGACCGGCGCACGGGUGCGUAACGCGUAUGCAACCUACCUUAUACUGGGGUAUAGCCCGGAGAAAUUCGGAUUAAUCCCCCAUAGUACUAAUGAAUCGCAUGGCUUAUUAGUUAAAGCAUUGCGGUAUAAGAUGGGCAUGCGUCCUAUUAGCUAGAUGGUGAGGUAACGGCUCACCAUGGCUACGAUAGGUAGGGGGCCUGAGAGGGUGGGCCCCCACACUGGUACUGAAACACGGACCAGACUCCUACGGGAGGCAGCAGUGAGGAAGAUUGGUCAAUGGGCGCAAGCCUGAACCAGCCAUGCCGCGUGCAGGAAGAAUGCCCUAUGGGUUGUAAACUGCGUUUAUUUGGGAAUAAACCUCUUUACGUGUAGAGAGCUGAAGGUACCAAAUGAAUAAGCACCGGCUAACUCCGUGCCAGCCGCCGCAGUAA
rnacentral:rRNA from 1 species